UUGCAACUACACUCGUUAUUAUGAAAAUACUUUUUUACAAUUAAAAACCGACGUUUUUCACAAGAAAUAUAUUUUUUCUACUUCAAUACUUGCAACAAAUUAUACUAAACAAUUUUUUUUUUUUUUUUAAUUUUCCAAACUAAUUAAUAUACUCGACAUUUUAAAAUCGUUGUUCUCUUUUUCCGUUGUUCUUUCUUACCGAUUACCCCCCAUGAACGGCAAACGAUUUUUCAACGCGCCCCCGUACGGAAAUCCCGCGUGUCGGCGCCAAUGACCGUCGAUAAUUCGCCGUGACAGACAGAUAAAAAUUGUAUGGACAUUUUCGCGUCACGACGGAUAAUAAUACGGGCGUUACACGAACGGGUGUGGGCCGGCGAGUCGUUGUCUUCGACCAUUUCCGGCGGAUCGGGGCAAAAAUAGCGCGCGCGAUCCGCACGUCCCCGCGAUCGUUUUCCAGCACCGCAUACGGACCGUACAUUACCAACGAUCACACUCGUUGCCCGCGGCGUUCGUGGGUAGAAACGG